rnacentral:rRNA from 1 species
CCUACGGGUGGCUGCAGUGGGGAAUAUUGCACAAUGGGCGCAAGCCUGAUGCAGCCAUGCCGCGUGCGUGAAGAAGGCCUUCGGGUUGUAAAGCACUUUCAGCGGGGAGGAAGGCGGUGAGGUUAAUAACCUCAUCGAUUGACGUUACCCGCAGAAGAAGCACCGGCUAACUCCGUGCCAGCAGCCGCGGUAAUACGGAGGGUGCAAGCGUUAAUCGGAAUUACUGGGCGUAAAGCGCACGCAGGCGGUCUGUCAAGUCGGAUGUGAAAUCCCCGGGCUCAACCUGGGAACUGCAUUCGAAACUGGCAGGCUAGAGUCUUGUAGAGGGGGGUAGAAUUCCAGGUGUAGCGGUGAAAUGCGUAGAGAUCUGGAGGAAUACCGGUGGCGAAGGCGGCCCCCUGGACAAAGACUGACGCUCAGGUGCGAAAGCGUGGGGAGCAAACAGGAUUAGAUACCCCAGUAGUC